UAGUCAAUGCUCGCAAGAGUGAACUAGCUAACUGAAAUCAUAGAAUUUCUUCAAAUUCGUGAUGUCGUAAGGGAAAAUAAUGAUAAUACCUUACUAUGAGUGUCGUCCAAAUCUGGUGCCAGAAGACUCGGUAAGACCAGAGACGCAAACGUUAAUCAUCAUAAUCAGGCGUAAAGGGUUUGUAGGCAGCUUAAAAAAAUUUAAGCUAGAAUCUAACAGAGGUUAUAGUGUAUAACGCCUAGAGGAGGGCUAAUAUCCAUAGAUCCUAGGCAGAAUACUAAAGGCGAAGGCCACUCUCCACUAAAGAUUGACGCUGAGAAACGAAGGUUAGGAUAGGAAAAAGGAUUAGAUACCCUGUUACCCCUUUCUGUAAACGAUGAAUGGUAGUUUUUAGUAAAUAAUUAGAGACGAAGUUAACACAAUAACCAUUCCGCCUUGUGAGUACUACUGCAAAGUAGAAAACAAAAAAAUUAGUCGGUCUCGAAGCAAACGGAGUGAAGCAUGUUAUUUAAU
rnacentral:rRNA from 1 species